AUUGAACGCUGGCGGCAGGCCUAACACAUGCAAGUCGAACGGUAACAGGAAGCAGCUUGCUGCUUUGCUGACGAGUGGCGGACGGGUGAGUAAUGUCUGGGAAACUGCCUGAUGGAGGGGGAUAACUACUGGAAACGGUAGCUAAUACCGCAUAACGUCGCAAGACCAAAGAGGGGGACCUUAGGGGCUCUUGCCAUCGGCUGUGCCCAGAUGGGAUUAGCGAGUAGGUGGGGUAACGGCUCACCUAGGCGACGAUCCCUAGCUGGUCUGAGAGGAUGACCAGCCACACUGGAACUGAGACACGGUCCAGACUCCUACGGGAGGCAGCAGUGGGGAAUAUUGCACAAUGGGCGCAAGCCUGAUGCAGCCAUGCCGCGUGUAUGAAGAAGGCCUUCGGGUUGUAAAGUACUUUCAGCGUGGAGGAAGGGAGUAAAGUUAAUACCUUUGCUCAUUGACGUUACCCGCAGAAGAAGCACCGGCUAACUCCGUG
rnacentral:rRNA from 1 species